CAGCUGUCAAGCCAGCAUACCACACCGUCAUGCAUUAUGUGAGGACACUUUCUAUUAUGAACAAGAAAAGUGAUUUCUA